UAAUAUUAAUAGCAAAAUAUUCGAAAGAUUAUUACGCAAAAGCUUGAAUCUAAGGAGUUUUAAUAUUCUAUGAUUGUCAAGCCUGCCUCA
rnacentral:ncRNA from 1 species